CAAUAGCUAGCUUAAAAAAAAAAUCAAGUUAUAAGAGGCUGUAGGACGAAAUUACCCUAUAACUAGAGGCUGCAUUUUAUGGGAGAGGGGCAGGGGAUGGGGUGUUCAAAAUGGAAAAGUAACUGGGUAGAGGCAGUUUGAGAGAAAUAGAAAUGGAUGCAAGGAAGUAAAAUGAAUUUCACUGAUUAAAACUUGUUGUUGAUUUGUUCAUUUAUUUUUAUUACAGCUGUACUAUAGUCGAGUCUGGAUCUUGACAAUGUCACCAAAUGAGCUACAGAAAGAAGGGGAGACAAACACAAAUGCAGCACUUUAUCAGUUGCUAGAUUUUCCAUGUGUUUAAGGUUGCUGAUAACUGCAGUGCAUUUCCAUGAAUUGGUGAGCUGAAAACUGGCAAGAACUGCUUGAUGAGAUAUGUAAAAUCCUGGGAGAAACUGGGGCUCUCAGAAAGUUACCUUGUGGGUAACCAGCUGGGUUUCCAGACAGCAGACUGUCCUGGGUCAUACACCAAAAUUGUCCUAUUGUGCUUCGAAAAACAGCCUGAAAAAAAUGCCUUCCCAAAGUUGUGUCAGUCCCAGCUGGGACUGUGUUGACAAUGGAAGUCAACAUUGUCACUCCCAGGUUCAGACAGAG
rnacentral:lncRNA from 1 species